AAGGCAACUUGUGGGUGCAGCAAAUCGUUCCGCUGGAUGGACGACAGAAACAAAAAAUCGACGUCGUCCGUUGGCGCCUCGUUCACAAGCUCAUGCUGAACGGUCUCUAUGCUCGUCUCGCCAAAUUAUCGAGUCCACUCGAAUGACAUAUCCUCCGAUUGAUGUGACCAUCAACGAAACGGCAAGCGGAAGCAGCAGCAGCAGCAGCAGCGGCAGCUUCGUAGCUCCCGGGGGAUACGCUGCCCCCUCGAGGAUCCCGUCGCGUGCGUUUGCGCGGAAAAAGGGCCCUGGGCUCGGACGUGAGCCAUCCUUGCGACUCAUUCCAGUGAAACGUCCGUCACCGUGAUCCACAGAAGGACUAUAGACCGAUCGAAACGUGUCGACUUGUUCUCCAGUCUGGACUGGAUUUCCGAUCACCUCUUUGAUCAUGGACAAUAUCGCAGUACACGAAUUGUCUAUCGAAUCGAACACCGUGCGCUUGCACCUGUAGCGGAUAGAGUACGCACGUAGCAGAUCGCCCAGAGGAGGCCUGUACUUGUAGUGUGUGCAGCUCUGGGCGCUGCUAUCGAGGUGUGUAUCGAGCUGAGCGUUCUACACUCGUGAGCGGCGUGUGCCGAGCGAUGAAGCGAGCGUUCACGCGCCACAGGGUGGUCUUCGACGCAGGUCGACGUGCAGAGAACGAAUGAGUGCAGGUAACCACAGCGCGGUGUCGGCGCUGUGAAGCGCGUACCGAGGCUGUAUGCAACCAAGAUGGAAAUGACACGGCUAGCGUAGAUCUCCGUAUUUGUGUGUGUAUGCGAUGUGCCGGAAGCAGCGGUGAACGGCGAAAUCGGAACGCGGACGCUGUUUUCAGCAUCCUUCGACUGUUGAGAAUAGAGGCGGGCGGACUGGCGCGACCGGCGUCGUCAAAGCCGGUGAUGCGCAAUACAGGAACAGGAAGCAGUCGCGGACAUAGUUUCCAGAUGCUGGUGUUCAUGGCAGUGAAAAUAGACACAAACUUGAGCGUCUAUACACGAGUUAGCUCAGUGGACCUGUUCCAUUUUACUCUGAGCUGGGGCUUGCUCAUGAUCCGUGUACGCACACCACGGACUGCUCGUCGCGACGUCAGUGAGUGAAGGCAGUUUCGCGCACGACACACCACAGCGGGGUACAAGUUAUGCUCAGGCUGUGUUGCAUUCCGCGUGAAGCGUGAUGCAUGACUCACCAUCGCUUUGGAGACGACGAAACUGCUGCAUGCGAGGCGCGUGGGCGCUGCGUAAACGGCACGCGAUUCCGUUCUUGAAAGAGAAACGAGUUUCACGCGAUUGCACUCAUUUCCGACGGUGUCACCACAACAGGUGACGCACACGGGAGAUCACGGUUUGGCAACGAUUUCGUUUCAGUGCAUGGCUUGCGCCAGAGCAUCUGCUCUCGAUAACAAAUGUAUCUGGAUGCUGGCACGACGCGCCUAACCAGCAACCUUGCAUCGACUCAGCGCAAAGCAUAAACUUGUAUGCAUGCCC